UAUGAUUGUGACAGGUUAAUUGUGAAGAUAUGAGACUUCAAGAAAUAACCUUCAUAUUAGGUCUGGUAGUCUACAUCCCCAACUUAGUGUUAAGCCAGACUCUGGAUGUCCAGGAGUUUCUUACACCACAGCAUUAGUGUUCGUGGAGUCCAUUGUUGUUGCAGGUUGCAAACCAUCGGUUGGAGAUCUGCUCUGAGGCAUACCAAUAUAUUUUCCAGUGGGU